UUAAUAAAUUUUUAAAUCAAUCACUUUGUCUCUGCACAAUGAACAUUAUCAAAUAUUAUUAAUGUUGUAAAAUAUAUUGUUCAUUGUUAGUUCAUAUUAGCUAAGGCAUUACCAAAUGUUAAGGAAUAAACUCUUAUAGUAAAGUGUUACUAAAUUUUCUUUUACCAUUUCCUUCACAAUGUCUAUUUAUUUCUAUGGCUAACAGAUUUUGUAACAUUUGUCUUUUUUACAGUCUUACCAUUGCUUGUAAGCUGGAUUGGGUAAGAUGGAUCAUCUUUAAAGGCACCAGGAGUUAAGGCAGAUGUGGAGGCACAACGGGUGAUACCAGACACACACCAAGCACAUUAUGUUCGGACAUUCAAUCAUGACAGGAUCCAGGUGGAUGCUGUCCAUUGAUGAAAGAGUUUGUUCAGCGGUUUCUGGAUAGAAUUAAUUCCAAAGAUGGGAAAAAGUGCACAUCCAGACAAGGAGCAAGCAAAAAGACAAGGAACUUGGUGCAGAGAAAAGCUGUGGCCAUUAACCCCCAUGUGAACAGCUUCAUGCAGUCGCUGAUUGAGUUCGAAUGGACGACUUCAAAGUAAAGGCCACUGUGGUCUGUCUGCCACAGUUUAAUGCAUUUAUUUUUAGUGUUAAAUGAAAUUUAAGUAGAAUAUUUAAAACUAUGGGCCAGUGUUCUUUUUACCACAGUGAAAUGUUACCUUUUAGUCGAUGAUGGACUUUAAACUGAAAACUUCAAACUAUGGAACAGUGUUCUAUUUGCCAGAGUUAAAUAUGUUACAGCAGGGGUCUCCAAACUUGUUUAUACUUGUUGAUUUUAUUUUAUGUUACUUGAUUAUAUGUUUAUUAUUGUUUAAAAUCUUGUUUUAAAUAUGUUUGUUUCAAUUAAAUGUUUUUUUAAAUAAAAUUUUGAUACAUA